AGAUUUUCCAGAGAAAGUUUGGCAUUCUACCACCCAGAAGAGGUUACCAUGCUGGCACUCUGGUCUUGGACUUCCAGCAUCCAGAACUAUCUCAUCUAGAACAUUAAAAUCAAUAUACAGUGUGAUUUUUAAGAAAUCAAAUGAUGAAAUUCUUCUCAUUUACAAUGAGCCAGGCAGUUUUUGUGACAGUUAACUGUCUGCCUAUACACAAACUUGGUUCCUGCUGUCAUGGUUAGACAACUACAAGCCAUUACUGAUUCAGUCAACAAACA